rnacentral:rRNA from 1 species
CCGGCAGGGAUAAGCGCUGAAGGCAUCUAAGCGCGAAACCCGCCUGAAGAUGAGACCUCCCGGGGCGUAAGCCCCCUGAAGGGCCCUCGUAGAUGACGAGGUUGAUAGGCCGGAGGUGUAAGCGCGGUGACGCGUUCAGCUGACCGGUACUAAUCGCCCGUGCGGCUUGACCAC